GCCAGUGUGGCGUAGUGGUUUGAGUGUUGGACUACGACUCUGGGGACCAAGGUUCGAUUUCUGCUCAGCCA